rnacentral:misc_RNA from 1 species
UGGUUCUGGCAUCGAUGAAGAACGCAGCGAAAUGCGAUAAGUAAUGUGAAUUGCAGAAUUCAGUGAAUCAUCGAAUCUUUGAACGCACAUUGCGCCCGCCGGCAUCCCGGCGGGCAUGCCUGUCCGAGCGUCAUUGCAAACCCUCAGGCGCGGCCUGGUGUUGGGGGACUGCGCUGCAGCCCCCGGAAGACAGCGGCGGGUGCGCCCCGGACCGAGCGUAGUAGCACACGCCUCGCUCAGGUGUCGGGGCGCCCUCCGGCCGGAAAAAGAACACUCAGUUGACCUCGGAUCAGGUAGGAAUACCCGCUGA